rnacentral:rRNA from 1 species
UACGGAGGGUGCAAACGUUGCUCGGAAUUAUUGGGCGUAAAGCGCACGUAGGCGGGCUGUUAAGUCGGAUGUGAAAUCCCUCAGCUUAACUGAGGAAGUGCAUUCGAAACUGGCAGCCUUGAGUACGGAAGAGGGUCGCGGAAUUCCCGGUGUAGAGGUGAAAUUCGUAGAUAUCGGGAGGAACACCAGUGGCGAAGGCGGCGACCUGGGCCGAUACUGACGCUGAGGUGCGAAAGCGUGGGGAGCAAACAGG